UACGUAGGGGGCUAGCGUUGUCCGGAAUCAUUGGGCGUAAAGCGCGUGUAGGCGGUCCGGUAAGUCCGCUGUGAAAGUCGGGGGCUCAACCCUCGAAUGCCGGUGGAUACUGUCGGGCUAGAGUGCGGAAGAGGCGAGUGGAAUUCCUGGUGUAGCGGUGAAAUGCGCAGAUAUCAGGAGGAACACCAAUUGCGAAGGCAGCUCGCUGGGACGUAACCGACGCUGAGACGCGAAAGCGUGGGGAGCAAACAGG
rnacentral:rRNA from 1 species